UACGGGGGGGGCAAGCGUUGUUCGGAUUCACUGGGCGUAAAGGGUGCGUAGGUGGUGAGGUAAGUCGGAUGUGAAAUCUCCGGGCUCAACCCGGAAAUGGCAUUGGAAACUACCUUGCUGGAGGAUUUGAGGGGGGAUUGGAAUACUUGGUGUAGCAGUGAAAUGCGUAGAUAUCAAGUGGAACACCAGUGGCGAAGGCGAAUCCCUGGAAAAUACCUGACACUGAGGCACGAAAGCUAGGGGAGCAAACAGG
rnacentral:rRNA from 1 species